rnacentral:lncRNA from 1 species
AAUUGCACAACAUCAAACUGUGUUUUGGCAGAGCAUGAAUUUAUCCCCCGAAAAAGAAGAUGGUCGCAACAUCGUACAAUAUCGAACCUGAAAUCAAAGAGCAGAUGGUCACAUCUUUGGACAAGGUAAUUAAUGAUAUGUUUUGAUCCUAGGAGUUCCAAACCAACUCAUGUAUCAAAAUUUCCUUGGAAGCUCCUUCAUUUAUGCAGUUUUGUAGAUGAGAAUUCACAUCUAAAAACUAUCCCUUACCAACUAAUUUCGGUAUGCAUGAGAUGACUUACCUAAUUUAAAACCGCUUACAGAAGCUCUACAACGAGUGCAGAUGCACCUCCACCACCAUUGCAAACACCACCAACUCCGUAUUUCCCAUUUUUCUGCUUCAAAACCCCCAAAAGCGUG